rnacentral:rRNA from 1 species
GAUGAACGCUGGCGGCGUGCCUAAUACAUGCCUGUCGAGCGAACGGACGAGAAGCUUGCUUCUCUGAUGUUAGCGGCGGACGGGUGAGUAACACGUGGAUAACCUACCUAUAAGACUGGGAUAACUUCGGGAAACCGGAGCUAAUACCGGAUAAUAUUUUGAACCGCAUGGUUCAAAAGUGAAAGACGGUCUUGCUGUCACUUAUAGAUGGAUCCGCGCUGCAUUAGCUAGUUGGUACGGUAACGGCUUACCAAGGCAACGAUGCAUAGCCGACCUGAGAGGGUGAUCGGCCACACUGGAACUGAGACACGGUCCAGACUCCUACGGGAGGCAGCAGUAGGGAAUCUUCCGCAAUGGGCGAAAGCCUGACGGAGCAACGCCGCGUGAGUGAUGAAGGUCUUCGGAUCGUAAAACUCUGUUAUUAGGGAAGAACAUAUGUGUAAGUAACUGUGCACAUCUUGACGGUACCUAAUCAGAAAGCCACGGCUAACUACGUGCCAGCAGCCGCGGUAAUACGUAGGUGGCAAGCGUUAUCCGGAAUUAUUGGGCGUAAAGCGCGCGUAGGCGGUUUUUUAAGUCUGAUGUGAAAGCCCACGGCUCAACCGUGGAGGGUCAUUGGAAACUGGAAAACUUGAGUGCAGAAGAGGAAAGUGGAAUUCCAUGUGUAGCGGUGAAAUGCGCAGAGAUAUGGAGGAACACCAGUGGCGAAGGCGACUUUCAGGUCUGUAACUGACGCUGAUGUGCGAAAGCGUGGGGAUCAAACAGGAUUAGAUACCCUGGUAGUCCACGCCGUAAACGAUGAGUGCUAAGUGUUAGGGGGUUUCCGCCCCUUAGUGCUGCAGCUAACGCAUUAAGCACUCCGCCUGGGGAGUACGACCGCAAGGUUGAAACUCAAAGGAAUUGACGGGGACCCGCACAAGCGGUGGAGCAUGUGGUUUAAUUCGAAGCAACGCGAAGAACCUUACCAAAUCUUGACAUCCUUUGACAACUCUAGAGAUAGAGCCUUCCUCUUCGGGGGACAAAGUGACAGGUGGUGCAUGGUUGUCGUCAGCUCGUGUCGUGAGAUGUUGGGUUAAGUCCCGCAACGAGCGCAACCCUUAAGCUUAGUUGCCAUCAUUAAGUUGGGCACUCUAAGUUGACUGCCGGUGACAAACCGGAGGAAGGUGGGGAUGACGUCAAAUCAUCAUGCCCCUUAUGAUUUGGGCUACACACGUGCUACAAUGGACAAUACAAAGGGCAGCGAAACCGCGAGGUCAAGCAAAUCCCAUAAAGUUGUUCUCAGUUCGGAUUGUAGUCUGCAACUCGACUACAUGAAGCUGGAAUCGCUAGUAAUCGUAGAUCAGCAUGCUACGGUGAAUACGUUCCCGGGUCU